CCUUCCCCUCUAUAAUAAGAACCAGUUUAGGGGAGGUUUCGCUUGCCACUUUUGGCUCAUUUUGGACAAUUUUGCCCUUCUAUUGUUGGCUUCUUCUUGUUUGUUUGUUGGGUGAAAUGGGUAUUUUACUUCCUCCACUUAGUGGGUUAUGUGGCAAAAGGGGGUGGACAUUUGUCUUUGGGUGGAGCUGUUUAUAUCAUUCGAGAGAAGAGAGACAGAGACGCUUUGUUAGAGAGAGAGGUUUUGGCAAUUGCUGCUUCACGGAUUCCGCCGUUUGCUUCUCAGAUUUUCGCUGUUUGCUUUGAUCUGUUCGGUUUUGGUAACACGUAAUGCUCGUUUUCUGAUUUUUGAUUUUGCCUCUGAAUGUUCAUUUUCUGAUUUUUGAUUUUGCAGUUUGUGUCUGCUUCUCGGAUUCCGCCGUUUGCUUGUUGGAUUUUCGCCGUUUGCCGUUUGCUUUGGUCUGUUCGGUUUUGGUAACAGGAUGGUUGUUCCGGUUCCAUUUCGACACUAGAUACAUGUAAAGCAUCGGAAUCCAGAAAGUCCACAUGGAGAGUUUUAUUGUCUUAUGCCUAUUCGAGGCCAAAUGGUGAUUGUUGUUGUUGCAAGGUAUCGACAUCCUGGGUCGUUGGAGUAUAAAACAUAUAGUAUUUUUGUGCGCGAGUAUAGGAACGUAUUGGGUUUGAGUGACAAUUUGAUAUGGGCUGUUCGUGAUGAUUUAGUUAAAUGGUUAGAUGUCCCUGUGCAUAAUUCAUUUAUACGCCAUAGUACUCCAGGGCUGUAACGAACGCAAGAAAACUCAAAGAACUGGUAGCAAUAGCACUGACACAACUUCUGAUACCAAAAGCAGACGAAAAUCCAGAAGAUGAUAUCAUCAAAAUUGCCAACCUUCCCAUAUCAGUGGAGAAGACACAGUACCUGAAUGUGCAAGCCAUAGCAAGAAUUACUGAUUUUGCGCAAAACCAAUCUCCACAACGGGCAUGAAUGACGUGCUUUGCACGUCGGCAUGCACCUAGUC